GUGGAUUAGAUACCCUGGUAGUCCACGCCCUAAACGAUGUCAACUAGGUGUUGGGUGGGUAAAACCAUUUAGUACCGUAGCUAACGCGUGAAGUUGACCGCCUGGGGAGUACGGCCGCAAGGUUAAAACUCAAAGGAAUUGACGGGGACCCGCACAAGCGGUGGAUGAUGUGGAUUAAUUCGAUGCAACGCGAAAAACCUUACCUACCCUUGACAUGUUCAGAAGCCUGAAGAGAUUUGGGUGUGCCCGAAAGGGAACUGGAACACAGGUGCUGCAUGGCCGUCGUCAACU
rnacentral:rRNA from 1 species